GGGGUUUCUGGUAUAUUGGCAUCUGGGAUGUGAGGGUUACAGCCUUGGCUCGACAUUUAUCUGGUUUGGCAGCUUAGUCAUCAAAGCCACGGAGAAGCGAGGACUUGGAUGAUCCUGGAGCUCCGCCGCAUCAACCAGCCCAUUACGGCCCUGCUGGCUGGACUCUUUUACAAGAUACUCUUUUUUCAAUUGUAAAGACAAGCAAAUAUUGCUCACACUUUCUUGUUGUCUAAACAUCACUCAGUCCUUGGCUGUUUAAUCUUAGGCUAUAACUUUAAUUUCAGUUUUGUUUAGGUGGUGCACUCUGUAUACUAACUUCUUUAUGCUAAUUUGUGUUUUCAAUAUGGCUAAUUCUAUCUAAUCGGAUCAUUUUCUUAUGACAACACAAUUGAAGUAUGGUCAUGGCUCUAGCUGGGAAUAAAGCAGAUCUGGUAGAGUGAAGGAAAGUGGCAUCAGAGUUGAUUAAAUUGAAAGGACAUAUACAAAAAGCUGGAUAAACUUCCAGGCUGAAGAUGAUAAAAGACUUUGUAGGCACAAGCAAACACACUAAAGUAAUUGGUACGUGAAGUAGAACGAGGAAGAUCCUUGUAAAAGUUUGAACCCUAUGUAGUAGAGAAAGAUAACUACCUUG
rnacentral:lncRNA from 1 species